GCCAUCGCUUCGGCGAUGGCAUUUGUUAAACGGAUAAAAAUACAGAGAAGAUUAGGUACGACAUUCCUAAGUUCAUUGCAUCGCGCAGUCGAUAUUAAUUCGAUUACUCCUAUAGCAUGGCCCCUGCGCAAGGAUGACACAUGAAUUUGAUUGGAAAAGAUCACCGUUUUU
rnacentral:snRNA from 1 species